CCUACGGGAGGCAGCAGUGGGGAAUAUUGCACAAUGGGGGAAACCCUGAUGCAGCGACGCCGCGUGAGUGAGGAAGUACUUCGGUAUGUAAAGCUCUAUCAGCAGGGAAGAAAAUGACGGUACCUGACUAAGAAGCCCCGGCUAACUACGUGACAGCAGCCGCGGUAAUACGUAGGGGGCAAGCGGUAUCCGGAUUUACUGGGUGGAAAGGGAACGUAGACGGAAGUGAAAGUCUGAUGUGAAAAUCCGGGGCCCAACCCCGGGACUGCCUUUGAAACUGUAUUUCUAGAGUGUCGGAGGGGCAAGCGGAAUUACUGGUGUAGCGGUGAAAUGCGUAGAUAUCAGGAGGAACACCAGUGGCGAAGGCGGCUUGCUGGACGAUGACUGACGUUGAGGCUCGAAAGCGUGGGGAGCAAACAGGAUUAGAUACCCCUGUAGUC
rnacentral:rRNA from 1 species